CCGAUAAUGGGGUGAGAAGCAAUAUAUAAGUUCAAUUCUAAUGCUUCUUGAAAUCAUUUUUGCUUAGUAACAUAUCAAUAUGGAUGCUUGUUAACUUAUGUUUGUACAACAUCAUCAAGUGCCUCUUGUGGCAUAUCGUUCAUAAGAUAUAACAGACUUCGACAUGCAUAGACUGUUGCUGAGACCAUGGUCCCUACCUUGAUAAACUGAAGAACAGUUCGCCCUAUGAAUUAGCUUUGAUAUUUAAAGGUAAUGGACUAUAGUCUGCCCCAUCUUUACUGUGACGACUAUCACAAGUACACUUACCCUUGUGCCCCCGGAGCUGGAUACGAUGGUCGUGGUGCUUAGCCCAUCUAUUGGAAAUACAACUACGGAAAAAUUGGUGAAGCUCUGAAAGUAGACCUUUUGAACCAUCCUGUCCUGAAUACAUCGAACAGUACAUCCGCCCCGAUACCAAACUUUUUUAUGUUUAAUUCUAUAUUCGGUCAAUUUUGUAUGACUUGUGACAUUGUUUUGAUGUAUGCAUUAAAUUGUUGUGUUAAACAGGAAGUCGGUUGAUUGAUUUUAUAAAGAGAGGUUUCUUCUGAUACAUUUGUAACU